rnacentral:rRNA from 1 species
AGCGACCCCAGGUCAUGCGAGACUACCCGCUGAGUUUAAGCAUAUCAAUAAG